rnacentral:rRNA from 3 species
GGAUGCGAUCAUACCAGCACUAAAGCACCGGAUCCCAUCAAAACUCCGAAGUUAAGCGUGCUUGGGCGAGAGUAGUACUAGGAUGGGUGACCUCCUGGGAAGUCCUCAUGUUGCAUUCC